AGAGUUUGAUCAUGGCUCAGAAUUAACGCUGGCGGCAUGCCUAACACAUGCAAGUCGCACGAGAAAGCCCGGUUCGCCGGGCGAGUAAAGUGGCGCACGGGUGAGUAACGCGUGGAUAAUCUACCUCGUUCUGGGGGAUAACCCAUCGAAAGGUGGGCUAAUACCGCAUAAUCCGGCUUUUUUUUGAAUUGGUCGGCAAAGGUGGCCUCUUGAUCAAAGCURCCGGGAAGAGAUGAGUCCGCGUCCCAUUAGCUAGUUGGUAGGGUAAUGGCCUACCAAGGCGACGAUGGGUAGCUGGUCUGAGAGGACGAUCAGCCACACUGGAACUGGUACACGGUCCAGACUCCUACGGGAGGCAGCAGUGAGGAAUAUUGCGCAAUGGGGGAAACCCUGACGCAGCGAUGCCGCGUGAGUGAAGAAGGCCUUCGGGUCGUAAAGCUCUGUCAAGUGGGAAGAACAGCCUAUGGACGAAUAAUCCAUGGGUCUGACGGUACCACUGAAGGAAGCACCGGCUAACUCCGURCCAGCAGCCGCGGUAAGACGGAGGGUGCAAGCGUUAUUCGGAUUUAUUGGGCGUAAAGAGAGUGUAGGCGGCCGGUCAAGCCAGAUGUGAAAGCCCAGGGCUUAACCCUGGAAGUGCAUUUGGAACUGGUUGGCUUGAGUUCGGGAGAGGGAAGUGGAAUUCCGGGUGUAGAGGUGAAAUUCGUAGAUAUCCGGAGGAACACCGGUGGCGAAGGCGACUUCCUGGACCGAAACUGACGCUGAGACUCGAAAGCGUGGGGAGCAAACAGGAUUAGAUACCCUGGUAGUCC
rnacentral:rRNA from 1 species